GACGGAGGGUGCUAGCGUUGUUCGGAAUCACUGGGCGUAAAGGGCGCGUAGGCGGCCUCAGGUGUCGGAUGUGAAAGCCCGGGGCUCAACCCCGGAGGUGCAUCCGAAACUCUGGGGCUGGAGGUCGGAAGAGGAGGGUGGAAUUCCCAGUGUAGAGGUGAAAUUCGUAGAUAUUGGGAAGAACACCGAUGGCGAAGGCAGCCAUCUGGACCGACACUGACGCUGAGGCGCGAAAGCGUGGGGAGCAAACAGG
rnacentral:rRNA from 1 species